rnacentral:misc_RNA from 1 species
CCUCCUUACCAUUACGUCGAAAGACGCACUUGAUGCAGUGCCUACACAGAUUGUUUUGUUCGUAAAUGAACAAACUUGGAUACUUACGAUACUCCUGAGAGUACUGUGAGUCCUCCUUGCGCAAAAGUCAUGACAAAAAGCGUCAUGAUUUUGCACGAUAGUUCCUUAACAAUUUGGAAAGCUGAUAUUAAUAGUAAUCAAUCAAAAUUGAGUAACUGAGAAGUCGAAAGACGUACUUUUUACUCUACUUGACUUGAAUUGCUUGUUAUCAACAUUGAUUGAUAGCAAGGCAAUUCUUCCGAUUAGCUUGUCAUGCAUACAACAUUACCCUUGUCCGAAUUCAAAAGGCGGACAUGAGGCCAAUACUCAAGGCUUUUUAGGGUUGUAUGGGUUAAGUGACGAAGCGUAUACGGUGGAUGCCA